GCACAAUCAACCCAGCUGAUGACCUCUAUCUAACCCGCACAAUCAACCCGGCUGAUGACCUCUAUCUAACCCACACAAUCAACCCAGCUGAUGACCUCUAUCUAACCCACAGAAUCAACCCGGCUGAUGACCUCUAUCUAACCCACACAAUCAACCCGGCUGAUGACCUCUAUCUAACCCACACAAUCAACCCUGCUGAUGACCUCUAUCUAACCCACACAAUCAACCCGGCUGAUGAUCUCUAUCUAACCCACACAAUCAACCCGGCUGAUGAUCUCUAUCUAACCCACACAAUCAACCCGGCUGAUGACCUCUAUCUAACCCACACAAUCAACCCGGCUGAUGAUCUCUAUCUAACCCACACAAUCAACCCGGCUGAUGAUCUCUAUCUAACCCGCACAAUCAACCCGGCUGAUGAUCUCUAUCUAACCCGCACAAUCAACCCGGCUGAUGAUCUCUAUCUAACCCGCACAAUCAACCAAGCUGAUGACCUCUAUCUAACCCGCACAAUCAACCCAGCUGAUGAUCUCUAUCUAACCCACACAAUCCACCAGGCUGAUGAUCUCUAUCUAACCCACACAAUCAACCUGGCUGAUGACCUCUAUCUAACCUGCACAAUCAACCCAGCUUUUCACAGUGGACUGGCGAAGGGUGGAAAAGGGCAGGCGUCACCUCCAG
rnacentral:lncRNA from 1 species